UUUGCCCAACUUAAUUAGUUAAUUACGGCCCUAAGUUUGAAAGUUGAAAUUUAUCAUUCCAUCUCUUUUAAUUAGAUUUUUAACCUUUGUAAUGUCAAUUUUUAUACUUUCAGAAUAAGAAAAAUACGGUUCCAAAAUUCAGAGAGGUUGCAUGUCGUGAUUCUUGCGAGAUUCACGCCUACCUUUUCUCCAUUCAAAAUCCGAUUGCCAUUUCUUUCAAACUUCCCAUUUCUGUUGCUUUUCAAAAUUUGAAUUCAAAAUGGGUUCAACUAGGUCAGCCUCUAAAAAUUCUCCCCCGCAAAAAAUGAACAUAUCGACAUCUAAUCCGAGUUCUAGCAAAAGAAAAAUUGAUUUUGCUACGGAAACGAAGAAUCGCCGAGCUGUUGUUCAUGAAAACGAUGACAGUGACUUCGACGAUUUCGAAAUACCUCCUAAGAAGACGGAUAGGCCUGUUUCAUCUGAAAUAUUUGCUAUAAAGGAUUGGGAUUAUUUCAUACAACCUUCGGACCAUUUUCCUAUUAAGGUUACCCAUCUGAUCAAACCAAGAUGUAUAGCGAGUUUUCGUUAUUCAAGACCUACGUUGAGAAGCAAUUUUUUGAAGUUUUAAGUGUAUUGUCUGAUUUGAAGAGUGCUGUGUUUUUGAAUGAUCAUCACGAUCAUGCGACGGAGGAUGUUGCUGGAGAUGUUUCAUCCUCAGAAGCUACCAAAGUAUGUUAUCCAAGAAAUCUGAUGACGGAGACCAUGAUGCUGUGGAGACACCUAAAGAUAUUUUUGAAUCUGGUACAUCAAAGGAGGAUCAUGUUCAAAAUGAUGGACAAGAUGGUGAUAAGAAACCCGAAGAUGACUCUAAUUGUAUUAGGAACGUCUUGGUUACCUCUUGUAUCGGUAUGGGCGGAUGAAGCUUGAAAGGAACAUUCAAAGCGACGAGGUGGUUGAACCGAAACCGAAACUGAAGUUUGGAAGACCAAAGAAAAUUCCUCAACAUAUCAUAGAAUAGCUUGUUUACUUUGAAUUUUAUGAUAUCAGUUUGUAAUACUUUUUUCUUGUUAUUUUAGUACUUUAUUAGCAGUAGUACAUUUUGGUAAUAGUUGGUAUGUUUUUACAUUUUGGAUACCUGCUGGCAUACAAUUGGGUACCAGUUGAUAUACAUUUGGGUACUAUUUGGCAUACUAAGGUUUUUUUAA